GCCAGGCCGACUGAGGAGCGUCGGCUGCGUCGCCACGGUGACGUAGCCCGUCCUACCCCGAAGCCCGCUUCGGGUUGCACCACCAUGUCAUGUCAUUUCUGCCGGAUCGGUGCCGAUCCGGCAGCUUUUGCCAUCGCGUGACUGACUGAUUACGGUUGCCGUCACGCGCGACUUGUUAAAAUUCGGAUAAUCUCAGCGGAAUAGACAGCCGGUUCAGCGUCUGUCUGCAUUGUUCAUCCAGACUUCGCAUAUGACCCAGCAACGCACUCUCAAGAACACCAUUCGCGCCACCGGCGUCGGCCUGCACAGCGGCGACAAGGUGU
rnacentral:sRNA from 1 species